UACGUAGGGUGCAAGCGUUAUCCGGAAUUAUUGGGCGUAAAGAGCUCGUAGGCGGCUUGUCACGUCGAUUGUGAAAGCCCGAGGCUUAACCUCGGGUCUGCAGUCGAUACGGGCUAGCUAGAGUGUGGUAGGGGAGAUCGGAAUUCCUGGUGUAGCGGUGAAAUGCGCAGAUAUCAGGAGGAACACCGGUGGCGAAGGCGGAUCUCUGGGCCAUUACUGACGCUGAGGAGCGAAAGCGUGGGGAGCGAACAGG
rnacentral:rRNA from 1 species